rnacentral:tRNA from 1 species
GGUGAAGCGCAGGCGGUCGCGCCGGCCGAGGCCGGCUAUCGCCCGACCGAUCCACAAAUCGCGUUCCACCUCGCGCGCCUCAUCG